CUUUUAGAGAGGAAGAAACAAGUCCAGACCAAGAUAAGACAGCAGGGAGACAGCAUGCACCGUGAACCCUCUCAUUUACAAAGAGAAUGAGCGGAGGAAAUUUCACAAGGAGGAAGCAAGAAGAACACAACCAAACGAGACAAGCAGAGAAGAAAGGAGAAAACAUCAUUUAAGAAAGUAUAUGUUUAAUCUGGGAUAUUAACAGAAUUUCUAUACUGACUUAUUUCUUUUUUUUUUGCCAUUGCUUUAGUUGUUAACUGUUCCCCCUCAUCUGUUUUGGAAAGAGGAGAGUAACCAACACAAGGAAACACCGUGCACUAGAGAAGAGAGGGUGAGAGAAGAGGAGAGAGAGAAGAGGAGUGGAGACAAGACAAGGGGAGAAGAAAAGAGACAGCG